UACAGAGGUCUCAAGCGUUGUUCGGAUUCAUUGGCGUAAAGGGUGCGUAGGCGGCGCGGUAAGUCGGGUGUGAAAUCUCGGGGCUUAACUCCGAAACUGCAUUCGAUACUGCCGUGCUUGAGGACUGGAGAGGAGACUGGAAUUUACGGUGUAGCGGUGAAAUGCGUAGAUAUCGUAAGGAAGACCAGUGGCGAAGGCGGGUCUCUGGACAGUUCCUGACGCUGAGGCACGAAGGCCAGGGGAGCAAACGGG
rnacentral:rRNA from 1 species